GCCAAAAAAAAGUAGCCGACCGCCUAAGCACGUCAUUUCCCUUCCUCGAUUCCAACCUUUUCCCCAACCUGCGCUAGCUGAAGGCUCCGGCGGCGGCCGGCCGGCCCUCUCCUGCCGCUCCCUCGGUCCCUCCCCUCCAUCCGACCAUCUCACUCCCCUGCCCUCGGCCUCCGGCGCCCAGCCCCCUCCUCCGCGGCUCCGCCAGGCGCCAGGCCACCAGUCCGCCUCCGGCCUCCCGAGCGCGGCGGCAGCCGGCAGCGACCUCCAGGCUCCAGCCACCGUCCUCGGGCCUCCCCGGCGCGGCGGCAGCACCAUCCAGCAGUCCGGCCUCCGUUCCUCAACAGCCACAAUACCCUGACGCCGGUUGGCCCCGGCACAACGCCGCUCCCUGCCAACACCCCUCUCCCUCAGCUGCUGACCUCGGCAACGGGCUCACCCACACGCCUCUGCUGCCAGAAGAUUGCCCGCAGCUAGCAAAGGCUAAUGGAUCGAAGUUGGAUGAGUAAACCAAGAUCAACUACUGAUUAUAAAGAAGGUGUCGAGCUAAUGGUUGGUUAUCUGACAUAUUCGAAUUGUCAUACAAAGAUUACAAGUUGGUCUUCUUUAAAUGUGAUUGGUAUGAUGUUCAUCACAAAGCUGGUAUUAUAAGAGAUGAGUUUGGAUUCACUCAUGUGAACUUCUCCUGAAAAAUACAUACAGGGGAGAAGUUAGAGGAUGAACCUUUUGUAUUUUCUUCCCAAGUGGACCAGGUCUACUACAUCCAAAAUCCGAGAAGUGAGAAUUGGAAUACCAUGGUGAAAUUCAAACCUCGUGAUAUUUUUGACAUGGGUGGAGAACCAUCUUCAGAUGAAACAGAGAUAGUCUUUGUGUUUUUAGCUUGUUAUCUGUAGCUAAGAUAUAGGUUGAGCAAUUAUCAUCCAUGCUCCUAGGUAGAAUUACUCCAACAUAAUUAUUCUAACUGGGUGGAUCUUCUUCGGAAUGUAUGUUACUCUGUGAUGAACGAGCCUAUGGUAUUUUUUUAAUGUGUAUGUUCCCUUUUGUUA